ensembl:lncRNA
CAUAACCCCAUAACCCCCCAUAACCCCAUAACCCCCCAAUAACCCCAUAACCCCUCCCAUAACCCCAUAACACCCCAUAACCCCCCAUAACCCCCUCAUAACCCCCUCAUAACCCCCCCAUAACCCCAUAAUGUCCCAUAACCCCAUAAUACCUCAUAACCCCAUAACCCCCCAUAAUACCCCAUAACGCCCCAUAACCCCACAGCGCCCCACAGCGCCCCGCAGCGCCCCGGCUGACCUUCGAGGUGCCGCAGAACGGCGCUCAGCCGAUGGGCGCACGGAGCGAAAAUCCCCACCGUGAGCGGAGCGGCGGCCGCGCAAACGGUGCGCGCCAAACAGUGCGCGUACAGCCGGUCCGGGGCUGCAAUUAACGGCAAUUAACAGUAAUUAACGGUAAUUAACGGCAUGUGAGCCAAACAGUGCGCGUACAGACGGUCCGGGGCUGCAAUUAACGGUAAUUAACAGUAAUUAAUUAACGGAUUAACGGCGUGUGAGCCAAACAGUGCGCGUAGAGACGGUCCGGGGCUGCAAUUAAUUAACGGUAAUUAAUUAACAGUAAUUAAUGGGGUAUUGGGCUGUGAGCCAAACAGUGCGCGUAGAGACGGUCCGGGGCUGCAAUUAACGGUAAUUAACGGUAAUUAACGGUAAUUAAUGGGGUAUUGGGCUGUGAGCCAAACAGUGCGCGUAGAGACGGUCCGGGGCUGCAAUUAAUUAACGGUAAUUAGCGGUAAUUAGCGGUAAUUAAUGGGGUGUGAGCCAAACAGUGCGCGUACAGACGGUCCGGGGCUGCAAUUAACGGUAAUUAACGGUAAUUAAUUAAUGGGGUAUUGGGCUGUGAGCCAAACAGUGCGCGUAGAGACGGUCCGGGGCUGCAAUUAGCGGUAAUUAACGGUAAUUAAUUAAUGGGGUAUUGGGCUGUGAGCCAAACAGUGCGCGUACAGCCGGACCGGGGCUGCAAUUAACGGUAAUUAACGGUAAUUAACAGUAAUUAACGGCAUGUGAGCCAAACAGUGCGCGUACAGCCGGUCCGGGGCUGCAAUUAACGGCAAUUAACGGUAAUUAGCGGUAAUUAAUGGGGUGUGAUCCAAACAGUGCGCGUACAGCCGGUCCGGGGCUGCAAUUAACGGCAAUUAACAGUAAUUAAUUAAUGGGGUAUUGGGCUGUGAGCCAAACAGUGCGCGUACAGCCGGUCCGGGGCUGCAAUUAACGGCAAUUAACGGUAAUUAAUUAACAGUAAUUAAUGGGGUGUGAGCCAAACAGUGCGCGUACAGACGGUCCGGGGCUGCAAUUAACGGCAAUUAACGGUAAUUAAUUAACAGUAAUUAACGGCAUCUGAGCCAAACAGUGCGCGUAGAGACGGUACGGGGCUGCAGUUAACGGCAAUUAACAGUAAUUAAUUAAUGGGGUAUUGGGCUGUGAACCAAACAGUGCGCGUAGAGACGGUCCCGGGCUGUUAAUUAACAGUAAUUAGCAGUAAUUAGCGGUAAUUAACGGCAUGUGAGCCAAACAGUGCGCGUAGAGACGGUCCGGGGCUGCAAUUAGCGGUAAUUAACAGUAAUUAAUUAACAGUGAUUAAUGGGGUGUGAGCCAAGCAGUGUGCAUAGAGACUGUCCGGGGCGGUUAAUAGUAAUUAAUUAAUAGUAAUUAAUUAAUAGUAAUUAGAUAAUGAAUGGGGUGUGAGCCAAACAGCGCGCGUACAGCUGGUCCGGGGCUGCCAAUUAAUGGGUAUUAAUGAGUUAUUAAUGGGUUAUUAAUGCGAUAUUAAUGGGGCUAUGGGAUUAUUGGGGCCAUCGAUGGGGUUACGGGGUCAUUAUGGGGUCAUUGUGGGGUCAUUGUGGGGUCAUUGGGAUUUGGGUUCGGGUUGGGGUCAGGUUGAGGUUUAGGGCCACGAUUAGGAUCACUUUUAGGGUCGGGUUUAGGAUUAGGAUCAGGUUUAGGGUCGGGUUGAAGAUUAGGGUCGGGUUUAGGGUCAGGUUUAGGAUUAGGGUUGGGUUGGGGUUGGGAUUAGGAUCAGGAACAGGUUUAGGAUUAGGAUCAGGUUUAGGGUCGGGUUUAAGAUCAGGUUUAGGGUCAGGUUUAGGAUCACGUUUAGGGUUGGGUUUGGGGUCGGGUUUAAGGUCACAUUUAGGGUCACAUUUAGGGUCGGCUUUGGGGUUGGGUUUAGGAUCACAUUUAGGGUCGGGUUUAGGGUCACAUCUAGGGUCACAUUUAGGGUCGGGUUUGAGGUCGGGUUUGGGGUCGGGUUUAGGAUCACAUUUAGGAUCACAUUUAGGGUCGGGUUUGGGGUCGGGUUUGGGGUCGGGGGGGGCCGUACCUUCGUGCUCCUCCCACUCCCACUCCCACUCGGAGCCGUCGCUGUCCCCAUCGCUGUGGGGCGGCCCCACAUCCAGCAGUGCUCCGCGCUCCUCCACGGAGCCCGAAGGGCGGCGCUGUGGGGCGGAAUGGGGGAUGCGGGUUAUGGGGUGGGCUAUGGGGUACGGGGGGUUGGGGGGUGUU